CCUACGGGUGGCAGCAGUGAGGAAUAUUGGUCAAUGGGCGUAAGCCUGAACCAGCCAAGUCGCGUGAGGGAUGAAGGUUCUAUGGAUCGUAAACCUCUUUUAUCAGGGAAUAAAGUGUGGGACGUGUCCUAUUUUGUAUGUACCUUAUGAAUAAGGAUCGGCUGACUCCGUGCCAGCCGCCGCGGUAAUACGGAGGAUCCGAGCGUUAUCCGGAUUUAUUGGGUUUAAAGGGUGCGUAGGCGGCCUUUUAAGUCAGCGGUGAAAGUUUGGGGCUCAACCAUAGAAUUGCCGUUGAAACUGGGGGGCUUGAGUGUGUGAGAGGCAGGCGGAAUGCGUGGUGUAGCGGUGAAAUGCUUAGAUAUCACGCAGAACCCCGAUUGCGAAGGCAGCCUGCCAAGCCAUGACUGAUGCUGAUGCACGAAAGCGUGGGGAUCGAACAGGAUUAGAUACCCGGGUAGUC
rnacentral:rRNA from 1 species